rnacentral:rRNA from 1 species
UACGUAGGGCGCAAGCGUUGUCCGGAAUUAUUGGGCGUAAAGAGCUCGUAGGCGGUUUGUCGCGUCUGCUGUGAAAGCCCGAGGCUCAACCUCGGAGGGUCAGCGGAGACUGGAGGGCUGGGGUGUCGGAGAGGAGUGCGGAAUCCCUGGUGUAGCGGUGGAAUGCGUAGAGAUCAGGGGGAACACCGAUGGCGAAGGCAGCACUCUGGCCGAAGACCGACGCUGAGGCGCGAAAGCUGGGGGAGCGAACGGG